rfam:Myotis lucifugus cont2.1900, whole genome shotgun sequence.
AGCGGUUCUCGGGUGACACACCCUGGAACCAGAGAGGAGGGAGCCCAAUUCCAGGGUGCAUCACCUGAGAACUGCC